rnacentral:tRNA from 29 species
GGGGCGGAUGUAGCCAAGUGGAUCAAGGCAGUGGAUUGUGAAUCCACCAUGCGCG